rnacentral:piRNA from 1 species
GCGGAGAAAGUAAAGGCUUUAAACAAG